UAUCACUGGAGACUAGUAGAAAAGGGAGGGGUUGUCUACCCGAAAAUAAAGUUGGUUCCUAAAUACACAUCGCUGGUGGUGGACCCUACGUCAACAAGGAACCUUCUUUUCUGAUUUUCUUAUGUGUGUGUGUGUGCAACUUGAAGUAAGUCAAUAUUGAAAGAGACCACCAUUUUCCCAAAACUUCUUUUCGUUGGGUGUACGAGACCAAACGGUUGAUUCAACAUUCGUUUCGACCGCACGGAAAAAACAAAACAAAAGAAGAGCUGCAAGGGGGAGAGAGAAGAAGAAAAAAACAGGUGGUCACGACACUGAGGCGCCAUCUUGGAUUCAAGUGCUUCAGCAGCAACAGGUUGGAAACCAUCUCGUGACCAACGAACGAACAAGACCACGUCCGCCGGCCCCUUGCUUGCUGGUCUAACAGCUUUUACUACCAACUCAUAUAAUCGAACUUGCUGGGUGCGAUCCUGGGUGAAAUGAUCCCCAGCAUUUUCUGUUGAGUGCCUCUAUAAACAUAUGAGUAUAAAAUAUGUCAUAAAGAAACAUCAAUCAUGACAUACUCGACUGAUUAUAGAAAGAUUU